AGUGAACGCUGGCGGCAGGCCUAAUACAUGCAAGUCGAACGGCAGCACAGUGGAGCUUGCUCCAUGGGUGGCGAGUGGCGGACGGGUGAGGAAUACAUGGGAAUCUGCCCAGUCGUGGGGGAUAACGUAGGGAAACUUACGCUAAUACCGCAUGCGCCCUUCGGGGGAAAGCCGGGGACCUUCGGGCCUGGCGCGAUUGGAUGAGCCCAUGUUCGAUUAGCUAGUUGGCGGGGUAAAGGCCCACCAAGGCGACGAUCGAUAGCUGGUCUGAGAGGAUGAUCAGCCACACUGAGACUGAGACACGGCCCAGACUCGUACGGGAGGCAGCAGUAGGGAAUAUUGGACAAUGGGCGCAAGCCUGAUCCAGCCAUGCCGCGUGAGUGAAGAAGGCCCUCGGGUUGUAAAGCUCUUUUGUCCGGGAAGAAAAGCAUCGGGCUAAUACCUCGGUGUUCUGACGGUACCGGAAGAAUAAGCACCGGCUAAGUUCGUG
rnacentral:rRNA from 1 species